rnacentral:rRNA from 1 species
GACGAACCGUCCAAACGUUAUUCGGAAUUACUGGGCUUAAAGGGUGCGUAGGCGGCGCGGAAAGUUGGGUGUGAAAUCCCUCGGCUCAACCGAGGAACUGCGCCCAAUACUACCGUGCUUGAGGGGAGAUAGAGGUGAGCGGAACUUAGGGUGGAGCGGUGAAAUGCGUUGAUAUCCUAAGGAACACCGGUGGCGAAAGCGGCUCACUGGAUCUCUUCUGACGCUGAGGCACGAAAGCUAGGGGAGCAAACGGG